rnacentral:rRNA from 1 species
CCUACGGGUGGCAGCAGUGAGGAAUAUUGGUCAAUGGACGAGAGUCUGAACCAGCCAUGCCGCGUGCAGGAAGACGGCUCUAUGAGUUGUAAACUGCUUUUGUACGAGGGUAAACGCAGAUACGCGUAUCUGUCUGAAAGUACCGUACGAAUAAGGAUCGGCUAACUCCGUGCCAGCAGCCGCGGUAAUACGGAGGAUUCAAGCGUUAUCCGGAUUUAUUGGGUUUAAAGGGUGCGUAGGCGGUCGGAUAAGUUAGAGGUGAAAUGCCGAGGCUCAACCUCGGAAUUGCCUCUGAAACUGUUCGGCUAGAGAGUAGUUGCGGUAGGCGGAAUGCAUGGUGUAGCGGUGAAAUGCUUAGAGAUCAUACAGAACACCGAUUGCGAAGGCAGCUUACC